rnacentral:rRNA from 1 species
AACGAACGCUGGCGGCAUGCCUAACACAUGCAAGUCGAACGAGACCUUCGGGUCUAGUGGCGCACGGGUGCGUAACGCGUGGGAACCUGCCCUUAGGUUCGGAAUAACUCCCCGAAAGGGGUGCUAAUACCGGAUAAUGUCUUCGGACCAAAGAUUUAUCGCCUUUGGAUGGGCCCGCGUUGGAUUAGCUAGUUGGUAGGGUAAAAGCCUACCAAGGCGACGAUCCAUAGCUGGUCUGAGAGGAUGAUCAGCCACACUGGGACUGAGACACGGCCCAGAAUCCUACGGGAGGGAGCAGUGGGGAAUAGUGGACAAUGGGCGAAAGCCUGAUCCAGCAAUGCCGCGUGAGUGAUGAAGGCCUUAGGGUUGUAAAGCUCUUGUACCCGGGAUGAUAAUGACAGUACCGGGAGAAUAAGCUCCGGCUAACUCCGUG